GAUGAACGCUGGCGGCGUGCCUAAUACAUGCAAGUCGAACGAAGAUCUAGCUCGCUAGAUCUUAGUGGCGAACGGGUGAGUAAUACAUAAAUAAUCUGCCCAUAUGACUGGGAUAACUAUUGGAAACGAUAGCUAAUACCGGAUAGGUUGAUCGGAGGCAUCUCUGAUGAAUUAAAGUAGGAUUUCUACACAAAUGGAUGAGUUUAUGGCGCAUUAGUUAGUUGGUGGGUAACGGCCUACCAAGACGAUGAUGCGUAGCCGACCUGAGAGGGUGACCGGCCACACUGGGACGGGGACACGGCCCAGACUCCUACGGGAGGCAGCAGUAGGGAAUUUUCGGCAAUGGGCGCAAGCCUGACCGAGCAACGCCGCGUGAGUGAUUAAGGCCUUCGGGUUGUAAAGCUCUGUUGUAAGGGAAGAACAUUCAGGACAGGAAAUGAUCUUGAACUGACGGUACCUUACCAGAAAGCCACGGCUAACUACGUGCCAGCCGCCGCGGUAA
rnacentral:rRNA from 1 species